AUUGAACGCUGGCGGCAUGCCUUACACAUGCAAGUCGAACGGUAACGCGGGGCAACCUGGCGACGAGUGGCGAACGGGUGAGUAAUGCAUCGGAACGUGCCCAGUAGUGGGGGAUAGCCCGGCGAAAGCCGGAUUAAUACCGCAUACGACCUACGGGUGAAAGGGGGGGAUCGCAAGACCUCUCGCUAUUGGAGCGGCCGGUGUCAGAUUAGGUAGCUGGUGGGGUAAAGGCCUACCAAGCCGACGAUCUGUAGCUGGUCUGAGAGGACGACCAGCCACACUGGGACUGAGACACGGCCCAGACUCCUACGGGAGGCAGCAGUGGGGAAUUUUGGACAAUGGGCGCAAGCCUGAUCCAGCCAUGCCGCGUGCGGGAAGAAGGCCUUCGGGUUGUAAACCGCUUUUGUCGGGGAAGAAAUCUUCUGGGUUAAUACCUCGGGAGGAUGACGGUACCUGAAGAAUAAGCACCGGCUAACUACGUGCCAGCAGCCGCAGUAAUAC
rnacentral:rRNA from 1 species